rnacentral:rRNA from 1 species
CAAUAGCGUAUAUUUAAGUUGUUGCAGUUAAAAAGCUCGUAGUUGGAUUUCGGUUAAGAGCGACCGGUCCGCCGUUUGGUGUGCACUGGUUGGUUUUAACUUCCUGUAGAGGACGUGCUCUGGGUUUAACGACCUGGACUCGGAGUCUACGUGGUUACUUUGAAAAAAUUAGAGUGUUCAAAGCGGGCUUACGCUUGAAUAUUUCAGCAUGGAAUAGCACUAUAGGACUCCUGUCCUAUUUCGUUGGUCUCGGGGCGGGAGUAAUGAUUAAGAGGAACAGUUGGGGGCAUUCGUAUUUCAUUGUCAGAGGUGAAAUUCUUGGAUUUAUGAAAGACGAACUUCUGCGAAAGCAUUUGCCAAGGAUGUUUUCAUUAA